rnacentral:rRNA from 1 species
GGGUGAGUAACGCGUGAGUAACCUGCCUUACACAAGGGGAUAGCCGUUGGAAACGACGAAUAAUACCCUAUGAAACUAUCACUUCGCAUGAAGCGAUAGUCAAAGUGUUAGCGGUGCAAGAUGGACUUGCGUCUGAUUAGCUAGUUGGUGAGAAAAAGCCCACCAAGGCAACGAUCAGUAGCCGGCUUGAGAGAGUGUACGGCCACAUUGGGACUGAGACACGGCCCAG